GUCGGGUGGGGGAGAGGGGGGUUGUAGGUUGGAGGAGGGAAUAUAUAGGAAAUCAGGGUGACAUUUAAAGCUGAGGGUGCAUAGUGUCCCCCCACCAGUGUUUCAGGGAGAAAUUUGAACUCGCAUUUGCACACAAAUAGCAGGAUUUUAAGAGAGCCCAGGUGAAGGCGUCACCCUCAGAAUGGAAGGGGUGGGGAGAAGGGCCGGGGUGCAGUUUCAGGGAGGAGGUACCCUUAGCUGCAGAAUCACCGUCCUGCACGUGUGUACCUCUGCAAUGUGGUCAAAUAGAGCGGCUGUGGACGCGACACCACCCAUUUGCCUUUUAAGUUAGCAAGCCCAAAGUAUGCUUUAAUGUUUACUUUUUAAGAUUUUUAGAAAAGGUAGAAGACGACUCUAUUUCCUAAUAUGGUAAUUACUGCUUUUGUCAAAAUGUGAAUGCUGCGUGCACAUUUCUGCAAUAGCAUCAGUGAACACCAUGUUGAAAUCACAUUUUUUUUUCCCUUUUCCUCCAAUUUUGUGGGAUUCUCGUUCCUUGUUGAGGCACCCUUGGCUAAUGGGAAAAGCACUGGAUCUGGUAGAGAAAAAGAAUUUGAAUCUCCUCUACCACUCUUCACUCAUGGGCUCUUGGGCAAAUUCCCUAAGUUUCCCUGACCUCCAGUUCCAGCAAGGUGGAAUGGGAAGCGGGGCCUCAUCAUACGAGCAUUGCAGGACUGUUGUGAGGGUCAGAUGAAAUUACGCAUCCAGAGUGAAAAGAUGGCCAUCUCUGAACCAGCGAGAGGAUCCUCACCAGACACCAAAUCUGACGUCUUGAUCUUGGACUUCUUAGCCUUCAAAAUGAU
rnacentral:lncRNA from 1 species